UACAGAGGGUGCGAGCGUUAAUCGGAAUUACUGGGCGUAAAGCGUGCGUAGGCGGUUAUUUAAGUCGGAUGUGAAAGCCCCGGGCUCAACCUGGGAAUUGCAUUCGAGACUGAAUAGCUAGGGUACGGUAGAGGGAAGCGGAAUUUCCGGUGUAGCGGUGAAAUGCGUAGAUAUCGGAAGGAACAUCAGUGGCGAAAGCGGCUUCCUGGACCAGUACCGACGUUCAGGCACGAAAGCGUGGGGAGCAAACAGG
rnacentral:rRNA from 1 species